AAUCCAUUAUGUGAACAUUUCUUUCACAGUUCUUUGAAUCUCUCCCAAGCAUCAAACAAGGAUUCAUCAUCCUUUUGAUGGAAGCAAGUGUCCUCAACUCUUAUCUU